UUAAGGCAUGACAUGCUUUCUCUCUCCUUUGAACCAAUCUUUCUCACUUUCCUUUUUCUGUUUUUACCAUCUGCUUUCUCACUUACCCAUUGUCUUUCAUUGUAAUUUUUGGACAGAGAUGAACUCUCCAUUGAAGCGGCUUCUGAGCUUAUUCCUCCAUUGAAUUGAAGCAGAUUCUGAGAUGAAACAAAGAAUAUACCUUAAUCGCCUCAAACUCGACGACAACCUCGUUGACGACGGUGUAGUUGCACGCGCUGAAAUCGGAAGGGUGGAUCGGAAGAGCUUCGGAGAAUCUUAGCCUUCUGUUCACUCAAUUAAGCAGAAGGAAUCGUCGCUGUUCAACAGAAUGCCUUCAUGCUUUGCGUUGUGAUUUUUAUAAUUCAUUCUGAUUUUUAAUCAUGUUUUGGAAGAUAUGCAAGCUUUCGAUGAGUUGAGGAAGCUGGAAUUGUUCUUCAAGGAUGAGAGCAGGCAUGGUCUUUCAGUUUCGGGUCUCUAUGAACUUUUUCAGCAUGCUGGCAAUGUGUUACCGAGUCUAUUAUGAAACUUAAUGAUAUGUGUGUUGGCAGUUGAGUUAUCAAUGAGAGUUAGUUGAUCUGCUCAUUUGGAAUUGUAGAAUCAGUUCUUUGGAGAUAGUUGAUUAACUGAAUACCUCUGGAGCUGGUUUUAUUGAUUUAUGGAUGGAGAUGAAUAUGCAUUCUGCUUUACCAAUGCAGACAUCAAGUGGAAAUUGUUACAAUGAAUUGAAAGUUCCUGAAUCAUACACUUCUCCUCUACCAGUUCUGGCUAAUCCUUUCUUUGUGUCAUCGUCAAGGGAAAUGAUUGCAAACAGUUUACAGAUGCAGGCUGACCCUAUAGUUCUCAUAUUGGUUCUUCCAGUAGUGCUUCUCCAUUUGUAGGCAGAUUCAUAUCACGACAUUAAUAGACUUAUGCUGGCUGAAUGGCACGAUGCAGAUGAAGCUGGAAAAGAAGAGGUCAUCAUCAAUGGAUAAGAUUAUGAAGAAGUUGAAAUCUGCUCAGAAGAAAGCUCAGAACAUGAGGAGCACAAUACCAACCAGUCAGACGCUUCAGGUGUCUAAAACGAGCAAUAAUGCAGUAUCUUUCCGGACUCGUCUGAUGGGUUCCCUCAGUGGUUGUUUUACAUGCCAUGCUUUCUAAACUGAAGGCUCGCAGCAGGACUCUUUCAGCUGGAACAGUAUACAAACUGGUACACAGCAUGCUGCAUGCUUCAUAUACAAUGCUACAGCCGGUCAACCGGUGCCCAUUUAGCUAGUACUUGAAACAUUUCUUUGUCCUCUUCGAAAUGUUGUUUUGUUCACUCCGCUCUUUUUUUUUUUUUUUUUUGGAGAUAGGGGGUGGGGGGAUGUCUAGCAGGGAUCCAGAUUAUAUUGUAGUGUAUAUUUAAAUUGUUGUGGAUUUGACGAAUAAUGUGCUAUGGUCAAAAUUAAGGCACGACCUGACACUCGAUACGUUGCACGACAACGAAAGGCGACUGACGACCCUGUAAUUGACUCAGCGAAAGAUAAGGAAGUGAUAAAGGUCCAUGAUGGCACUAUAGCUAUUUCCCAGCAGUUUGCUCAGUAAAAGUGAUUCAAACCUCAACCUCAACCAGAUAAGUCCAGAAGUCGAAAAUAAGUCCCAAGACUUCGUCAACAACCGAUUCCCUAUUUCUUAGGGGAACGGAUACAAGCUUCCAAUGACACUUAAGCUAGGGUUUAAACGCUCAUGAUUAGCAUUAUAAAUAGCAUAAUAAUUGUACUAAGCAAGGACACAGUUCAUACGCACUCUACCCUCAAUUCUAAGCUUUCAUACUCAUUGCAUUCAAAGUAA